rnacentral:lncRNA from 10 species
GGGAGGGGGAGGGGAGGGGGCGGGAGGACGCACCACGCACGCACGCGGCGGCGCCGGCCAGAUGUUCCCCCCACCCUCAGUCCGCCCCUCUCCUUCCCCUGCCUCCCUCCCUCCGGGCGUUGGGCUUCUGCGAUUGACCGAAAGCGGCUGGACCGGCGCUCCCCGCCCGCCCCCAGCCCUCAGACUCCUCCAAUGGGAAGGCGGCUCUUCGGGAAGGCGGAGGGGGUGGUGGGCAGUCGUCGGACUGACAAGGGGGCCCAGCCAAUGGGGGUGGCGAGCCGUAGCUGCCCUCCCGCGCGUUCCAAUCGCAGGCAGCAACUGUUGGGGUGGGCGGGGCUCGGGCGGGCGGGGAUCCGGAGCGAAGCGGCGCGGGGCGGAGUCCUCGGGCGCAGCGGCGGUGGCAGCAGCGGCGCCCCUCUGGGUGACUUGGCCGUGAGAAAGUGAAAGGAGCCCGCAGGCGGCGGCGACAGCUGCGCUGGGAGGGGCUUGUUUCCAGGCUCAGAGGCCCCGCGCACUCUGCGGGUGCGGAGCGAGCUUUUCGGUGUGCACUGUGACAACCACAAACACACUUUUGAACGUAGUGGGGCUUGGCUGCUGCGAGUUACGCAGGUAUCCUGGAGAGGCAGGGCACCCGGGGACACGGAUGACUCGAGGCCGACUUCGGGUGGCUCUCUCUGCUCCUUCCUGUGGGGGUGAAGACGCCCGGGUCCUCGCCGGCCCGUGCGCAGGGGAGCGGGACCGAGGAGCGCUCUCGCUCCGUCCUGCGGCGUCCCGCGCCCAGGUGCACAUCGGGGAGCUGGGGACGCAGGCGACUCAGGCAGUUUCUGGGAGUCGUUCUUACGUCAUCAUGUCACGGGCAGAACAGGGCAGAGCGCCCGCCUUUCUCGCAAAACCCUCCUGUCCCUUGUGUACUUACACUGUUACAAGUAAAGACUUCCCCAAGUGACCAAAUUUUAGAGCAUUACAGUAAAAUUGGUACUUGCAGAUGCCUCAGCUUGAUUCCUUAAUUGAUACGUAUCUAGCCACAACUUUAAACUACCGAGGGACGAUGUAAGACUGCUGUGUCGCUUUUCUUUCCUUCAAAUAAACUUUUACUCGGUACCUGUUCUUGGCAAUUAGACUGCGUUAAUCACAGCCACAAAGACGUGGAAAUGUCUGCCGUCAAGAAAUUGGAAAUCGUAUCGAGAACCCAGACUGGCAAGCCUGUUGCUAACCAACCUGCCAGGAGACCUUUCAACUGGGCAAAAUGUGCUUUCACUUUGUUCCAGGUCAAAUGGCAAGGAGCUCUUGCUGUCUGGGACACACAGAUGACACCACUAC